ensembl:lncRNA
GGUUGAGGAGGAAUUGGAAGUUUGUCGGCUUAGACCUGGUGUCAUUCCAUCAGUGUUUAACUUCCCGGCUCAUCAUGGAAAAGUACGUGCCAGAAAGACCACGACCAAGCAGCCUUGAGAUCUUAGGCAGCGUCUCCCUGAGACCAAAGAACUACAGACUCUUCACAACCUGCUCAAACUCUUGGUACAGGACCUCACCACACGGGUCAAGAAGGUUUCCAUCUCAUUUCUACUCUGAAGAUCACCUUCUCCUGCUCAAACUGCUGACAAAUGUUUCUGCUGCUCUAAAGUCUGGUCUCCAGAACUUCCUAAAAACUCUCAAAGUCUCUUCUGCUGCAGGUUGCUUUGUAGAACUGUUGCAGAAAACCUCACUAAACCACAUAGAGGGGCCUCAAGAUAAUCGUCCAAAUGAAACCUGACAAAAACCAAACUAGU